rnacentral:rRNA from 1 species
GACAUUUUGAUUUUGCUUGCAAAAUCUCGUGCUGACGAGCGGCGAACGGGUGAGUAACGCGUAGGAAUCUACCUAGUAGAAGGGGAUAGCCCGAGGAAACUCGGAUUAAUACCGUAUACGUCCUUAGGGAGAAAGAGGGCUUAGCUUUGAUGCUCUCGCUAUUAGAUGAGCCUGCGUAAGAUUAGCUUGUUGGUGAGGUAAAGGCUCACCAAGGCGACGAUCUUUAGCUGGUCUGAGAGGACGAUCGGCCACAUUGGGACUGAGACACGGCCCAGACUCCUACGGGAGGCAGCAGUGGGGAAUAUUGGACAAUGGGCGCAAGCCUGAUCCAGCCAUACCGCGUGUGUGAAGAAGGCCUUCGGGUUGUAAAGCACUUUAAGUAAGGAAGAAAAGAGUAUUGUUAAUACCAAUACUCCGUGACAUUACUUACAGAAUAAGGACCGGCUAAUUCCGUGCCAGCAGCCGCGGUAAUACGGAAGGUCCAAGCGUUAAUCGGAAUUACUGGGCGUAAAGCGCGCG